AUUGAACGCUGGCGGCAGGCCUAACACAUGCAAGUCGAGCGAGCGGCGGACGGGUGAGUAAUGUAUGGGGACUGCCCGAUAGAGGGGGAUAACUACUGGAAAAGGUGGCUAAUACCGCAUACUAUCGGAUAACCCAUAUGGGAGUAGCUAGUAGGUGGGGUAAAGGCUCACCUAUGCGACGAUCCCUAGAUGGGCUGAUAGGAUGAUCAGCCACACUGUGACUGAGACACGGCCCAGACUCCUACGGAGGCAGCAGGGGGGAAUAUUGCACAAUGGGCGCAAGCCUGAUGCAGCCAUGCCGCGUGUAUGAAGAAGGCCUUAGGGUUGUAAAGGACUUUCAGCGGGGAGGCGUUACCCGCAGAAGAAGCACCGGCUAACGCCGUGCCAGCAGCCGCGGUAAUAC
rnacentral:rRNA from 1 species